AGUGAACGCUGGCGGUAGGCCUAACACAUGCAAGUCGAACGGCAGCACAGUAAGAGCUUGCUCUUACGGGUGGCGAGUGGCGGACGGGUGAGGAAUACAUCGGAAUCUACUUUUUCGUGGGGGAUAACGUAGGGAAACUUACGCUAAUACCGCAUACGACCUACGGGUGAAAGCAGGGGAUCUUCGGACCUUGCGCGAUUGAAUGAGCCGAUGUCGGACUAGCUAGUUGGCGGGGUAAAGGCCCACCAAGGCGACGAUCCGUAGCUGGUCUGAGAGGAUGAUCAGCCACACUGGAACUGAGACACGGUCCAGACUCCUACGGGAGGCAGCAGUGGGGAAUAUUGGACAAUGGGCGUAAGCCUGAUCCAGCCAUACCGCGUGGGUGAAGAAGGCCUUCGGGUUGUAAAGCCCUUUUGUUGGGAAAGAAAAGCAGCAGGUUAAUACCCCGCUGUUCUGACGGUACCCAAAGAAUAAGCACCGGCUAACUUCGUG
rnacentral:rRNA from 1 species